GUUGAAUGGGACAGGACAGGACGGUUGGGCGGGUGAUGGGUGGGGCGGAGAUGGCGGUGGCGGGGGGUUUGCAGAUCAUGAGGGGUGGGAAGGAUGGAGGGAUCGUCAAUGACAGGGGGGUGGAGGCGUUCCCGAGGUCCUGGGAGUGCCUGUUCGGGCAUUGGACCGUGACUCGUGUGGCCCUUGCGGGCCCUUCGGGCUGGGAGGACUGCUGGUAUAAACAUUGUAUCAUUGUUGUGGCGGGUCGUCUAGAUUGCAAGUAGAUUUCAAUAUUUUAACAUUUUCGUUUUUAGCGUUUUAUUUUUAACAUUUUCGUAUUUAAC
rnacentral:lncRNA from 1 species